rnacentral:rRNA from 1 species
UUGACCUCGGAUCAGGUAGGACUACCCGCUGAACUUAAGCAUAUCAAUAAGCGGAGGAAAAAAAA